GGCGAACGGGUGAGUAACACGUGGGUGAUCUGCCUUGCACUCUGGGAUAAGCUUGGGAAACUGGGUCUAAUACCGGAUAGGAACCGUCUUUAGUGUGGUGGUUGGAAAGUUUUUCGGUGCAAGAUGAGCUCGCGGCCUAUCAGCUUGUUGGUGGGGUAAUGGCCUACCAAGGCGUCGACUGGUAGCCGGCCUGAGAGGGUGUACGGCCACAUUGGGACUGAGAUACGGCCCAG
rnacentral:rRNA from 1 species